rnacentral:rRNA from 1 species
UACAGAGGUCCCAAGCGUUGUUCGGAUUCAUUGGGCGUAAAGGGUGCGUAGGCGGUUUGUCGCGUCUGCCCGUGAAAAUCCGGGGCUCAACCCCGGACUUGCGGUGGGUACGGGCAGACUAGAGUGUGGUAGGGGAGACUGGAAUUCCUGGUGUAGCGGUGAAAUGCGCAGAUAUCAGGAGGAACACCGAUGGCGAAGGCAGGUCUCUGGGCCACUACUGACGCUGAGAAGCGAAAGCGUGGGGAGCGAACAGG